GUACUGCUGAAGAGUCCCAAACUAGGAUGAAACAUCUGUCCAGUAC
rfam:Trichobilharzia regenti genome assembly, scaffold: TRE_scaffold0009431